rnacentral:rRNA from 1 species
UACGUAGGGUGCAAGCGUUAAUCGGAAUUACUGGGCGUAAAGCGUGCGCAGGCGGUUUUGUAAGACCGAUGUGAAAUCCCCGGGCUUAACCUGGGAACUGCAUUGGUGACUGCAAGGCUUGAGUGUGUCAGAGGGAGGUGGAAUUCCGCGUGUAGCAGUGAAAUGCGUAGAUAUGCGGAGGAACACCGAUGGCGAAGGCAGCCUCCUGGGAUAACACUGACGCUCAUGCACGAAAGCGUAGGGAGCAAACAGG